UGAUGGGCUAUUCCUGUCCCAGGAGCACAUUCUGCCCCCAACCAUUUAUAAAGUCUAUUAAACUAGAACUCAAGAGGGAAGAGUAGACUCCUGUGCUCCAGAACAUGGGCAUCCCCAGAAAGCCAAGCUGAAGUCUAAAAGAUGCUCCCCACUCAUCAGUCUCCCUGUUCUUUUUGCCUAUGUGGCAGUUCUACAGAGUCGGCCAAAUAGUGAAAAUGGAAAGAGAAAGGAAGGGAGAGAGAAAAAGGAUGGAGAGAGGAAACCAGUGAGAGAGAGAGAGAAAGAGCUCAUUUCUAACAAAUGUCUAAGACUAUUCAAAAACAGUAAGGAUAGAUUAUAUAUUUUGAUGGUGGUUUUAGAAAUAAUGAGUAAUGAUUUCUCAGUGUUUAUGAUGUGUAUUAUUUGAUAGAAGACA
rnacentral:lncRNA from 1 species